GGAGAGAUGACCGAGUCGGCUGAAGGUGCUCGCCUGCUAAGCGAGUGUGGGGGUUAUACCCCACCGAGGGUUCGAAUCCCUCUCUCUCCGCCA
rnacentral:tRNA from 1 species